GUAGGGUGCAAGCGUUAAUCGGAAUUACUGGGCGUAAAGCGUGCGCAGGCGGUUUUGUAAGUCUGACGUGAAAGCCCCGGGCUCAACCUGGGAAUUGCGUUGGAGACUGCAAGGCUUGAAUCUGGCAGAGGGGGGUAGAAUUCCACGUGUAGCAGUGAAAUGCGUAGAGAUGUGGAGGAACACCGAUGGCGGAGGCAGCCCCCUGGGUCAAGAUUGACGCUCAUGCACGAAAGCGUGGGGGAGCAAACAGGAUUAGAUACCCUGGUAGUCCACGCCCUAAACGAUGUCUACUAGUUGUCGGGUCUUAAUUGACUUGGUAACGCAGCUAACGCGUGAAGUAGACCGCCUGGGGAUACGGUCGCAAGAUUA
rnacentral:rRNA from 1 species